CGGACGGGUGAGUAAUGCCUAGGAAUCUGCCUGGUAGUGGGGGAUAACGUUCGGAAACGGACGCUAAUACCGCAUACGUCCUACGGGAGAAAGCAGGGGACCUUCGGGCCUUGCGCUAUCAGAUGAGCCUAGGUCGGAUUAGCUAGUUGGUGGGGUAAUGGCUCACCAAGGCGACGAUCCGUAACUGGUCUGAGAGGAUGAUCAGUCACACUGGAACUGAGACACGGUCCAGACUCCUACGGGAGGCAGCAGUGGGGAAUAUUGGACAAUGGGCGAAAGCCUGAUCCAGCCAUGCCGCGUGUGUGAAGAAGGUCUUCGGAUUGUAAAGCACUUUAAGUUGGGAGGAAGGGUUGCAGAUUAAUACUCUGCAAUUUUGACGUUACCGACAGAAUAAGCACCGGCUAACUCUGUGCCAGCAGCCGCGGUAAUACAGAGGGUGCAAGCGUUAAUCGGAAUUACUGGGCGUAAAGCGCGCGUAGGUGGUUUGUUAAGUUGGAUGUGAAAUCCCCGGGGCUCAAACCUGGGAACUGCAUUCCAAACUGACUGACUAGAGUAUG
rnacentral:rRNA from 1 species